AGGCGCAAGGGUGCCCCGGGCCGCGGCCGAAGUUGGGCCGAGAGCCGGCGGCCGCACCUCGCCGGGGUCGCAGGUGACGCGCGAGGAGUCCCAGGGUGCCGGUCUGCGGAGUUCCUGUAGCCAAGUCGAAGGUGGCCCUGGGCAGGCACGGGUGCUAUGCUCCUAUCUUCAGCCACCAGGGCCAUCCUCUGGGGACUUCCUACGGGAAGAGUGACGGAUUUGGCGCUUCUGUGUUUCAGCCGCUUCAGUGAGGCCACUGAGGGAGUCGGCGCGGUGGGCCUAUGUUGGGGCCCGGGACGUGCCUCUCCAGCUGCCUGUCUGCUGGGCUUGCCUUCUCAAGACCACUGUGAAAAUCAGGGCCAGGGUGUGUCCCGAGCUUACAGGCCCUGUCCCCUCUCCUCGUGUCUGCAGGGGUUGAGGGCUGCACCCAGCUCGCUGGAGAGGGAGAGGCAGAUCUAGUGGACGCCUGGCGUGGACUCGGACUGGCCUUUGGAAGCACCCUGUCCUGAUGGGGUUGCCUGUCACCACUGUGGGCUGAGACUUGGCAGAAUCUGCAGGUGGGGAAGGCUGUGUGUGGCCUUGGGGUGGAACCUGCGGAGCUGACUUCCUGCCGGAUAGGGACUUUCUGUGAGGCACCCUCAGAGAACCGGGGUCCUCGGCCGGCCCUACAGAGCACUUCUGUGCUGGGGUCAGGUAGAAAGUCUGGGCCAGUAGGGCCCCAGCACAGUCCCUCAAUGUGGCCUGGCUCUGCCUCUGACCAUAUUACACCAGGUGGGAUGCCCCCCUGCGUCGCCUGGGGGUUGGCUUGGCUUGGGCCUGCCCUGCGGUGGAACUGGAUAUUUUCGGGGAGCCCAGCCUUUCCACUCGCCAGCACAGCGCACAAUAUAGUUUUCAAAGUGCAGUUUCAAACUCAAAAGUAAACUUUUCAGCCACUCAAA